CAGUCGCCACGGUAAUACAGAGGGUGCAAGCGUUAAUCGGAAUUACUGGGCGUAAAGCGCGCGUAGGUGGUUUGUUAAGUUGGAUGUGAAAUCCCCGGGCUCAACCUGGGAACUGCAUCCAAAACUGGCAAGCUAGAGUAUGGUAGAGGGUGGUGGAAUUUCCUGUGUAGCGGUGAAAUGCGUAGAUAUAGGAAGGAACACCAGUGGCGAAGGCGACCACCUGGACUGAUACUGACACUGAGGUGCAAAAGCGUGGGGAGCAAACAGGAUUAGAUACCCCCGUAGUCCCUGUCUCUUAUAC
rnacentral:rRNA from 1 species